rnacentral:rRNA from 1 species
UCCUACGGGAGGCAGCAGUGGGGAAUAUUGGACAAUGGGGGGAACCCUGAUCCAGCCAUGCCGCGUGUGUGAAGAAGGCCCUCGGGUUGUAAAGCACUUUCAGCGUGGAAGAACGCCUAGCGGUUAAUACCCGCUAGGAAAGACAUCACUCGCAGAAGAAGCACCGGCUAACUCCGUGCCAGCAGCCGCGGUAAUACGGAGGGUGCAAGCGUUAAUCGGAAUUACUGGGCGUAAAGCGCGCGUAGGUGGCUUGAUAAGCCGGUUGUGAAAGCCCCGGGCUCAACCUGGGAACGGCAUCCGGAACUGUCAAGCUAGAGUACAGGAGAGGAAGGUAGAAUUCCCGGUGUAGCGGUGAAAUGCGUAGAGAUCGGGAGGAAUACCAGUGGCGAAGGCGGCCUUCUGGACUGACACUGACACUGAGGUGCGAAAGCGUGGGUAGCAAACAGGAUUAGAUACCCUGGUAGUCCACGCCGUAAACGAUGUCGACCAGCCGUUGGGUGCCUAGCGCACUUUGUGGCGAAGUUAACGCGAUAAGUCGACCGCCUGGGGAGUACGGCCGCAAGGUUAAAACUCAAAUGAAUUGACGG